rnacentral:tRNA from 2 species
UGGGGCGUAGCCAAGUGGUAAGGCUGCCGGUUUUGGUCCGGCCAUUCGGAGGUUCGAGUCCUUCCGCCCCAG